rnacentral:rRNA from 1 species
GCCCAGAUGGGAUUAGCUUGUUGGUGAGGUAACGGCUCACCAAGGCGACGAUCCCUAGCUGGUCUGAGAGGAUGACCAGCCACACUGGAACUGAGACACGGUCCAGACUCCUACGGGAGGCAGCAGUGGGGAAUAUUGCACAAUGGGCGCAAGCCUGAUGCAGCCAUGCCGCGUGUAUGAAGAAGGCCUUCGGGUUGUAAAGUACUUUCAGCGGGGAGGAAGGUGUUGUGGUUAAUAACCGCAGCAAUUGACGUUACCCGCAGAAGAAGCACCGGCUAACUCCGUGCCAGCAGCCGCGGUAAUACGGAGGGUGCAAGCGUUAAUCGGAAUUACUGGGCGUAAAGCGCACGCAGGCGGUCUGUCAAGUCGGAUGUGAAAUCCCCGGGCUCAACCUGGGAACUGCAUUCGAAACUGGCAGGCUUGAGUCUUGUAGAGGGGGGUAGAAUUCCAGGUGUAGCGGUGAAAUGCGUAGAGAUCUGGAGGAAUACCGGUGGCGAAGGCGGCCCCCUGGACAAAGACUGACGCUCAGGUGCGAAAGCGUGGGGAGCAAACAGGAUUAGAUACCCUGGUAGUCCACGCCGUAAACGAUGUCUACUUGGAGGUUGUGCCCUUGAGGCGUGGCUUCCGGAGCUAACGCGUUAAGUAGACCGCCUGGGGAGUACGGCCGCAAGGUUAAAACUCAAAUGAAUUGACGGGGGCCCGCACAAGCGGUGGAGCAUGUGGUUUAAUUCGAUGCAACGCGAAGAACCUUACCUGGUCUUGACAUCCACAGAAGAAUCCAGAGAUGGAUUUGUGCCUUCGGGAACUGUGAGACAGGUGCUGCAUGGCUGUCGUCAGCUCGUGUUGUGAAAUGUUGGGUUAAGUCCCGCAACGAGCGCAACCCUUAUCCUUUGUUGCCAGCGGUUAGGCCGGGAACUCAAAGGAGACUG